UCUUUCCCGCCCUAGCCUCAUCACCUGCCCCUUUCCGCCCCUUGCCCUGCCUUGCCCCUUGCCGCCUCUUGGUGAUCCUUGUGCCUCGCUGACAGCCCCGCUGAUCCUCUGCUUGCAAAGGUGAGUGAGUGAACACAACACAUUUUUCUUUUCUGCAUUUUCGUUACGGCAGAGGAUUAGCCUACUGCAAUGGUUACAGCCAAGGAGGCUUGUGAGGUGCUCAAGAGUUCUUCUUCCAUGACUCUUGGGGCAGUACUGGGGCAUAUUGGUGAUGUUUUGCCUGGACAUCAGUUUGCUUCCAUGAGUUUUAAUUUAGUUUUAUUUUUUUAGCUGUUUAGGAGUUUUGAGUUCCCUUCUGCCUGUUUUUUUUGGUAGUCCCCUCUUUGGCUUUGGUGUUGGUUGUUUGGAUUUUAACUGCUUAAUUGUUUUACUUGGUUGAUAAAAUAUUAAUUUCAUUUUGUUAGUGAGAAAGUGUUUGUGAAUGAUAGUACAAAUUUAAGGCUUAAGCAAGUUCCGAACUUCCUAGUGACUGUAAUUAAAAAAAAAUAGUAGUUGACUGACUUAAUUUGAUCCUUCCUAGUCGACAGUGGAACUUUUUUGAAACUGUGCUCCUUUGUUGCUUAUUUAGAUCAUAUUAAGCUUUAAUGACUUUGAUGAAUUUAAAGCUGGCAUUUGGGUUCUAGAUCAUAUUAAGCUUUAAGGACUUUCAACUGAGCCAGCAUAUUGUAAUAGUAAUGACUCGUUGUACGUUCAUAAAACAUUCUUAUGAAUGAUCUAGAUAAAUUCUUAUUAAAACUAGAACUGUAGAAGCGUUUUAUAUCAGAAUUGGUCUCAAUACACAUGUGGAUGACUUUCUUUUGAACGUUAGGACUAGUGUUGUGCUGUGAAAAUGGUGGAAUAAUUUUUUUCAAAAAAGUUAGACAUUGCAUCUAAAAAUCUGAAAUAAGUAAAUACAUGUGUGUGCAGUCGCUUUUCGUUUUUUGGUCAAAAUAGAUGUCUAUAGUCAAUUCCACCUUUCAGCUCUGAUAAUGAGAGGGUUAUUCUCCUUUUAGACUGUUCUUCCAAUAGAAAUUUACCGAAAGAAUAAGUUUGCUCCAUUUGGAAAAUAAAAGUAUACAUGGUAUGAUUAUAUGAAAGUUACCAUGCUCAAUCUGAUUACCAAAACUGGCUUUCCGUCUUCAAAAAAAUAAAACCAAAGUGAUCUUGACUCAUUUGCUGCGUUUAACUAAGCUAGGAGUUGAUUUUAUGGACAUUGAAAUGAGAGUGCAGAUGGAAAUAAUUAAAUAAAAAAAAAAACCUAUUGAUUCUUCCAAUACAUGAUCCACAUCCAGGAUCAUACCAAACCCCUUAAAUCAAACCAUCUGUUCAUGUAGAUGAGCUUUUGUUUUCCAUUUUUGGUUGAAGAAGCAUAUGUCCAUCCAGUGCUUAUUAUGUAGAGGCAUCCUAUUUACGAUAGCAGAAACUAAAGAACAACAAGAUACUUCACUUACACUCUCUUGCCAGGGAACAUCAUUCAGUGACUUUAAAGUUUCACACUCCACCUGUGUACUUCUAGCACAACUUGGAAAAAGAGAGAUAAAAAAGGUGCAUGUUACCUUUGAAUACUGUUCACUCACUUCUUAAGGUCAAUAUAGAACUUUCUCACACUGUCUACUUAUCCGAAAAACAAAACUGGUGAUGGCUUCCAUAAUUUGAAGGAGAUUAAAACUGUGGAACUUGUCAAGCCUACUGGUUGGGUUCAUCUUUCAUUAUCCGCAAAUGAUCCUUGGUGAGUGGCCAAACAAUUGUUUCGAUGUCAAGCCUAUUGCUUUCUGAAGUAUUUGGAAUUUUGUAGUGAUCAUGUUUCUUUUGUUGGCUGUUGGUGCAAUAUUGUUAAUUUGAUCACUAACUGUUUGCUCUUUAUUAGCAGAUUAAGAGACUAAUUCAUUUCUUUUCAAAAA
rnacentral:sRNA from 1 species